rnacentral:sRNA from 1 species
UAUAAAUUAAAGAUUUAACCCGUAUUGAAACGGUGAAUUAAUUAUAUUUUCCUUUUUAUUAAUGUUGAUUCAAAAACCCGUCCCUCCAAAUCCGUCUUACCAAAAAGCCAUUUAUUUUAUUAAUAUUAAUUUUAUUUAUGAUAUGACUCUGAAUUAUAAUCUAAACAUUUUAGCUAAUAACAUAGGAGUGCACCAUAUUUAUUUAAUAAGGGAAUCUACCAUAUGACCAGAAUGCACUUUUACCCAAAUCCACCAAAAAAGUCUUGCAAAACUACUAUAGACCCGAAUGUACCAUAUUUUUUUGUGCUAAUAUUUAUGUGAUUAAUAUUUAAUUGAUUUCGUAUAUAAGAUAUUAAAUUGUUUUACGAACUUAUUUGUUUAUAAUUUGAUAACAGAUAGAUAUUUGAAUAUUCAGUAUAUUUUGCUUCAGUUUAGGAAAUCUUUGAUGACCCGUCUUUAAAUCUAAUAAGCCCUAUAAUUAAGAGAUGAAUAUUGUCGUUAAAUAAUUUUGGUAAUCUUAAUGAUGUCAUUAAAAAAUUUUGUUUUUGAUUAAAUUUUUCUAAUGGCAUUGUCAUGUAAUUAAUUACAAAAAUUAAGAUUAUAUUUAAAAUGUACUUCCCAAAUAAUAUAGUAGGAUUGUCACAUUGUUGGUUAUAUAUGCUAAAUCGCAACUCU